rnacentral:lncRNA from 1 species
UGGAAUCCCCCUUUACAUCAUGAAAAUACGUCUCUUUUAUAAGCCCUAAUUGAACCCCCUCACUAAGUUACCCUUCCAUCACACUAUCUAGUGAAAAAGUCAUCUCUAGUCAACUUCUGAAGUGGCGCGACCGCGCUGGAAUUAGCCUGAAGUUGGGCGCGCCCGCACUCAAGUGUUAAAUCACACUUUUUUGCUCCAGGGACUCGCACGGCCGCACAGGAAAUGCACUACAAAUACGCGCGCCCGCGCGGUUGAUUUUCUACUAUAGUGUCCUUUGGUAAAAUGGUCAUAACUUUUGAUCCGAGAAGAGUUAAGGGGCCUGCCACCUAUCAAAUUGAAUCUCUCGACGAGCUCUACAACUUCUAUUCUUUGAGAAUUGAGAAAUAAUGCACGAAUGAAGUCUGAAAUUGGGUUGGAAGUGACUUCUAUGCAAAUGGCCAUCCAAAACAGUGACGUUCAACAUUCGUUGGUACAAAGGUCAUAACUCUUACAUCCGAACUCCGAUUGGAAUGAUUCAAGAUGUUUCGGAAAGCUUAGAAGUAGAUCUACAACAUAAUCCAAGUUCCAAGCCAAGAACAUGAAAUGAACAUGAAAGCCCAAACGAUCCCCAGAUUGCUUUUCCUUGCGUUUUCAUACCAAUAGUCGCUCACAUCGUUCCCAAAC